rnacentral:rRNA from 1 species
UACGAAGGGGGCUAGCGUUGUUCGGAUUUACUGGGCGUAAAGGGCGCGUAGGCGGGCGACUAAGUCAGGGGUGAAAUCCCAAGGCUCAACCUUGGAACUGCCUUUGAUACUGGUUGUCUUGAGUCCGGGAGAGGUGAGUGGAACUGCGAGUGUAGAGGUGAAAUUCGUAGAUAUUCGCAAGAACACCAGUGGCGAAGGCGGCUCACUGGCCCGGAACUGACGCUGAGGCGCGAAAGCUAGGGGAGCAAACGGG